ACGCAUCAUUCGGCGUCCAACGAGCCAUCAUCGAGGAACCCGACAUUUGCUGCUAAGCAUUGAGCAGGAGAGGAUUGUCACUAUGCUUUCUAAAUUCAUCGUCCUUUGUGUGGUUUUAGGCGUUGUGAGCAGCUCUCGGAAAGCUACAGGCUGGCCCAAGCUGUGCAAAACGGAUGCUGACUGCUCGCAUUACUUUCCCUACUGCGGGGAGGGCAAAUGUCGCCCGGUUACAACAUUCUGCAUUUCCGGCGAACGCGGCGUUGCCGGAUGUAACACAUGUAAAUGCGUACGUCACGGCUGGGCUUGUACAAAAAUUU